rnacentral:rRNA from 1 species
GAUGAACGCUGGCGGCGUGCCUAAUACAUGCAAGUCGAGCGAACGGACGAGAAGCUUGCUUCUCUGAUGUUAGCGGCGGACGGGUGAGUAACACGUGGAUAACCUACCUAUAAGACUGGGAUAACUUCGGGAAACCGGAGCUAAUACCGGAUAAUAUUUUGAACCGCAUGGUUCAAAAGUGAAAGACGGUCUUGCUGCCACUUAUAGAUGGAUCCGCGCUGCAUUAGCUAGUUGGUAAGGUAACGGCUUACCAAGGCAACGAUGCAUAGCCGACCUGAGAGGGUGAUCGGCCACACUGGAACUGAGACACGGUCCAGACUCCUACGGGAGGCAGCAGUAGGGAAUCUUCCGCAAUGGGCGAAAGCCUGACGGAGCAACGCCGCGUGAGUGAUGAAGGUCUUCGGAUCGUAAAACUCUGUUAUUAGGGAAGAACAUAUGUGUAAGUAACUGUGCACAUCUUGACGGUACCUAAUCAGAAAGCCACGGCUAACCACGUG